GCCUGGCUGGCUCAGUCGGAAGAGUGUGUGACUCUCGAUCUCAGCGUUGUGAGUUCAAACCCCAUGUCGGGUA